UAUAUAGGUAAUGUGCCCUAGAGAAGAGGAUAACAGUUGGAAACGACUGCUAAUACUCUAUAUGCCUUUAAGACAAAAGUCUGCAAGGGAAAUAUUUAUAGCUCUAGGAUCGGCCUGUACGGUAUCAGCUAGUUGGUGAGGUAAUGGCUCACCAAGGCAAUGACGCCUAACUGGUUUGAGAGGAUGAUCAGUCACACUGGAACUGAGACACGGUCCAGACUCCUACGGGAGGCAGCAGUGGGGAAUAUUGCACAAUGGGGGAAACCCUGAUGCAGCAACGCCGCGUGGAGGAUGACACAUUUCGGUGCGUAAACUCCUUUUAUAUAGGAAGAUAAUGACGGUACUAUAUGAAUAAGCGCCGGCUAACUCCGUGCCAGCAGCCGCGGUAAUACGGAGGGCGCAAGCGUUACUCGGAAUCACUGGGCGUAAAGAGCGUGUAGGCGGGUUAAUAAGUUUGAAGUGAAAUCCUAUGGCUCAACCAUAGAACUGCUUUGAAAACUGUUAACCUAGAAUAUGGGAGAGGUAGAUGGAAUUUCUGGUGUAGGGGUAAAAUCCGUAGAGAUCAGAAGGAAUACCGAUUGCGAAGGCGAUCUACUGGAACAUUAUUGACGCUGAGACGCGAAAGCGUGGGGAGCAAACAGGAUUAGAUACCCUGGUAGUCCACGCCCUAAACGAUGUACACUAGUUGUUGUGAGGCUAGACCUUGCAGUAAUGCAGUAAACACAUUAAGUG
rnacentral:rRNA from 1 species